GGUGGGUGUGGUGGUGCACGCCUGUAAUCCCAGCUACUCUGGAGGCUGAGGCAGAAGAAUUGCUUGAACCCAGGAGGCCGAGGUUGCAGUGAACUGAGAUCACACCACUGCACUCCAGCCUGGGUGACAGAGCAAGACUCUGUCUUGA
rnacentral:SRP_RNA from 1 species